rnacentral:rRNA from 1 species
CGGACGGGUGAGUAAUGUCUGGGAAACUGCCCGAUGAAGGGGGAUAACUACUGGAAACGGUAGCUAAUACCGCAUAACGUCGCAAGACCAAAGAGGGGGACCUUCGGGCCUCUUGCCAUCGGAUGUGCCCAGAUGGGAUUAGCUAGUAGGUGGGGUAACGGCUCACCUAGGCGACGAUCCCUAGCUGGUCUGAGAGGAUGACCAGCCACACUGGAACUGAGACACGGUCCAG